rnacentral:rRNA from 1 species
AGAGUUUGAUCAUGGCUCAGAACGAACGUUAGCGGCGUGCCUAAUACAUGCAAGUCGAGCGAAUCUUUAGGAGCUUGCUCCUGAAGAUUAGCGGCGGACGGGUGAGUAACACGUGGGCAACCUGCCUGUAAGACUGGGAUAACUUCGGGAAACCGGAGCUAAUACCGGAUAAUUCUUUUUCUCACAUGAAGAAAAGCUGA